ACACACAGUACCCUGCCCCAAAAGGUCUUUCACCUGCAUACACUCAUAUAGCAGGAUCCUUACAUCAUCUCUUCCCGUUUAUCCCCUUUUACACAGCCCUUGGCAAACUCUCCUUUCUGCUCCCCCUCCACCGCAGCAAGAAAGUCACACAUAUUUAAAUAUAGAUGGCCUCUCCUGACUUUUCCCAUGCUUCGUCCCCCCCUCCCCCCCCCCUCUCUCACGCACACAGAGAGAAUGGUCAUAUAUAUUUCACCAUGGGCUUCACAUUCAUACAACCAAACUUAUCUCUCACUGUCUGACAGUGUCUUCAUAUCUUUACACCCCAAUCCUAAACACAACUGACUGGGACGCAAGUGUCACUGAAAUCAAGGAGCUUCUUUUAAAAGUAGAUAUGUCGAGAACUGGAGCCGAAAGACAGACGUCCAGAGUCAUUAAUAUUUAGUGGCAAACCUAUUACAUUCUUACACCCCGAGCACAUUAACUCGGAAAUAUACAACUAAAAUCAUUUGAAUUUACCUCCAUCUGAUGUGUGCAAAAUGGUCGAACAAGUGACUAUACAUUACAACGCAAGAAGGUAAUCAAGUUGAAUCUAGCACGGGAUACUUUGGAAAUAAAUGCAAUAUUUGAAUUUGUUGCACACUGCCCAGAGCCUUUGGAUGGGGCGGUUUAUAAAUAAAUAAAUAAAUAAAUAAAAUUUGAACUCAGAUUAGUGGAUUAGACAGAGAUAUAUUAUGUUUUCCUGUACAAUGUUUCUCAGAGUUAUUAUCUCCCUUCUAUCUAUUUAACUAGAAUAUUUAUCACUGCUUUCAGGAAAAUAGAGAAGUGUUUAAAGAAGACUUUCCAAAACUUGGCAACCUCUACUACUUUCUUGUGUAUUUGGAACUGAUGCCAAUAUCACGGCUUCAAAACAAAAGAACAGCCAUUCAAGCAAAAUUAUUUUCUUUAAUUUGUCAUGCUAAACUACUCUGGACCAGCUGGUCACGCAUGCGCGAGAGUAUUUGUGAGCCUAGAGUGACAUGAUGGAUUGAACCAGAACUGGAACCUGAAAAACCAGAGAAAUUCCAUCUCUAUUGUAAAUCCUGUCUCUUGGUGUUUUGUUUUUGUUUUUCCUGGGAAGAUUUCUAAGAAGUUAAAGUAUAACUAAGGGCAUUCAAUAACUUUCAUUUGCAAUAUAAAGAGGAAAUACAUAGGUCAGGUACCCUAGCUCUUAGCCUUAACUGUCUCAACGGGCUUCUUGGUGUCUUGUGGGUCUGAAACAAAAGCAAUCUGAAGUACAGGAGACAAUUUCCAGAGUUUGUUGUUGCUGCAAGCUCUCCUGUUCAUUUAUUACUAUGCAGAAAAGACUGCCCAUUUCAUAUUUCUUUAUUCUGAUUUAGGAAAGUAGCCAAUACAGGAAAAAGUCCCCAUAUUACCAAUAGUUUGCUAUGUAGUAUUUGAGUCACUCUCUCCCUCCCUCCGCCCCCUACAAAACCUACCUCACAGGCUUGUUUUGGGGAUAAAAUGUAGGGGCCUGAGGACUUUGGAGGAAAAGCAGAAUAUGAAUCCAACAAAGAAAGGAUAUUUGGUUCUCUGUAUCAGGUUCACAACAUAUUUACAAGCCAAAUCAAUGAAAAACACUUACUAAAGGUAAAGUUGUGCCAUGGAGUCAUGUGGACUCUAGGCAAAGUAAUUAAGAUUACUUGGAAUAUUCUCUGAAAAGCCUGAUUUUCUAAGAGUGGUGUCAUUGGCAAAGAGUAAGAACUGGGUUCCUAAGACUUCAUUCCUAAACCAUUUAUUUAGAAAGAAGACCAGACAUAUUCAGUGUAUGUACUUCCAAAUAAGUUACCAAGAACUGCAAUAAGCCCUUCUCUCUCUCACGCCUUUCCUUCACAGAGUUCAGGGUAAUAUAAUGCUUCUCCCCCUCCCCGCAACAUAUUAUCCUCACAACAAUCCUGUAAUGUAAGUUAGUUAGGUUGAAAGUGGUCACUGGCUACUCAGUGUAUAUGACUGCAUCUUUGGCAUGACAGCAAGCAAUUUGCUGCUUUUUAAUGCUGAGUCUUGAGCAAGUGGUUUGAAAACUGGGGUUUACAGAUUAUAUACUAAAGAUGGAAUCCUCCUAACCAACCCAAAUAUGUUCAAAGGCAUAUUUCCCCCUGUAUUUUAUUAUGUAACCGCAGCUUGCAGCUACUACUGGAAACUGAGUUUGGGCCCUUAAACAAACCUAGUGGUAUUAAAAUGAGGUGGGGGGGCCCUGAGUGGAUGCUGGGGAGUCUAAAUGCUUGCUUCCAAAUAUAUCACCUCAGGGUCACAGGACUCAGUCAUUUAAGUUCCUUUGAAAGUGAUACCCCCAAACAGAAAAUCCUGUCCCUAACACCUUCCUCCUUCCAAUGGUUUUACAAUGCUUUAUAGGUAGUGGGCAUGGUAUUUUUCAUUUCAUUUCAUAAGUUUGCAGUCUCCUGAUACUCAGUUAUGGAUGUCAUGGAUACUACUUAAUUUACCAUGUAUAAUAUUUAUCACUAAAUUGUUCUUAAUUUGUGAUAUUUCCCAAUGACUUUUCCACCUUCAAUUUAACCUACAAAAUAUCCCAGCUGCUUAAGUUUCCUGAUAACUUUUAAGUUUUCCAUUCUGCAUUUUUAACAAAAGAGUCAAUGAAGUUCUCAGGCACAUUCUGUUCUACCAGUAAGGAUUCUUAAUGUUUUCAAUAAAGCAAUAAAUGAAGUUUUAAAUAAAAUAAACCUUCAAAUAACUGAACAAGAA